UAAGAAUGAAAUUGCCCUGAAAUAAAUGGAUGAAGCCUAUGGGCAAACUAGUUUUCCAAGCUAUAAUGUCCAUGCAGAUUCUCACCCAUGCCUUCAAGGUAACCCAAAGCUGGGGAAAAAAUCAGCAAUCCGUAUAAGAAGUGGAAGUACUGACAUCAGUAAUAAGUGCCUCCCUUUGCUUUAUCAUAGCUCUUUUGGCAGACCAGAUUGUGCAAAUAAUUGCCAGUUUGUGUAGCACACUCUGACACCUUUAUUUGUUGCUUGUUAAAUAGUUCCUAAAGAGCAGGGAGAUGUGUACUCUUAGGGACAUACAUCAACAUGAAACACAGUGGAGUUUCUGCUAUAUUCACAAUCCUCACAUGGGCUACAGUGUGGCUGUUCUUCUGAUAUCUUGAGAUCUGAGCUAGAAGUGAUAAUUUGGCCCAUGGCUGGCAGCUCAUGGUCCUGCUUAGAUUACUUUUCUGAUGCUCUGCACAUGAACAGAUAUAGAUGUAAUAUUAAAAGAGGGGUCAGGCAAGCUAAGGUGAUCCCUGUUUGCAAGCAUCCUGGAGCAGAGAAACAGUGUAGUGAUAAUGAUAGUGACUCUGGUGGGAUCCCCACUAGUGAUUUAAAGCAUAUUCUAGUCAUCCAUCACUAUUGAUGAAGAAAAAGAUGCCCUGUCCUUAUUACUGCUAUUUCAGCACAACAAUAGUUGGAUAACACCAAAGGUGCUCCAAGUCUCUUUGAGGAUCCUAUCUUUGUCUUUCCAAAGACAAGGAAUGGUUAUCUUGCUUGGAGAGAAAAAUAAGCAUUUUCAAUCUUUACCAGUGCCUCAUGCCCACUUGUCUCUUCUCAUCUCUGUCCUCCCACCUAAAAGAGUUUUGAACAUACCCACCAACCUUCUCUGUUUAUGAUCAUGAAAGUUGCCCUGAUGGAUUCCACAGGAAUGAGAUCCAUUUUACAUCAAGCACAUGAAAAGGACACACAUAACCUGCCUGGCAAAAUUAUUGCCCCAAAGUCUUUAGGAGAAAAUACUCCCAAAUGAACGAAUAUUCUGACAGUGAGAUGUGAUGGGUGGAACUGUUUGAUCCUUCUCUGCAGAAUUUGGGGGGAGUUCACUGAAGUUCUUCUGCUCCAUAGAAAUUCCAGAGUAGAGUGCAGAAAUCAGAAUGGUGUUUGUAAUUCAGUGUAAACAUAUGUUGAUGCAGAGGAGGUAGUGUUAGCUAUUCCUUGUCUGCAUUUAUAUUGGGUUAUAAUGCACCACAAUGUCACUGGACAUUUCUGAGGAUCUGCAGUCAGUACAGCUGCUGCAAAAGAAUGGGUGGGGAAAGGUUUCUUAUUGUGAGAAUUUGGACUGUGUAAAAUGAGAACAGGGGCUAGCAUAAUUUGGUGCUCCAUCGUUUUCUCUGCUCACAUUAAUGGCUUCAAAACCCAGUAAGUAAUGUUGCUUUACCCUUUCCUUGCUGCUUUCAUACUGAGCUUUGGAUUCUUAGCAGCAUCCCAAUUCCUUGCUGCUGCUAGCACUCUGCAUGCAAAUAAUGAUUCUAAUGAAAUGUGGAAUAAUUCGUGUUGUCUAAUUCUCAAUGCAAAAUGCAUCAGGGUACACAUAAUUUGUGCAGUGUUUCAUACAAAUUUAUGGGCUGCAAUAAUGCUUGAACUGUCUCUCACACUUCUCUGUGUUUCCCCAUUCUAUCUUUAAAAUAGGUAGUCUUUGCAAAGAUAAAACCUCAAACAUUUCUAUUACAAACCUGGAUAUUUUGAAGCACAUUUUGGAAUUUUUAUAAAUCAAAGACAUGGUUAAUGAAGCCUCAGAUCCAAAAUAUAAAAUAGAUAGAUAGAUAGAUAGAUCUAUCCCUUGAUCUACCAGGUACAUGAGUCAAUGAACAAUAAGAACAUCAACACUUCAGACUGAAAACCAUCAUAAAGCCAGUCAUUCUAAAA